GGGUAGGAUCCGAGACCAUGUAAAGGGUUACAUAGGCUCUCCUACUCAACUCCCAUUCCGUCACGUCCCUGUCGUGCAGAGUNN
rnacentral:ribozyme from 1 species